AUUGAACGCUGGCGGCAGGCCUAACACAUGCAAGUCGAACGGUAACAGGAAACAGCUUGCUGUUUCGCUGACGAGUGGCGGACGGGUGAGUAAUGUCUGGGAAACUGCCUGAUGGAGGGGGAUAACUACUGGAAACGGUAGCUAAUACCGCAUAACGUCGCAAGACCAAAGCGGGGGACCUUCGGGCCUCUUGCCAUCGGAUGUGCCCAGAUGGGAUUAGCGAGUAGGUGGGGUAACGGCUCACCUAGGCGACGAUCCCUAGCUGGUCUGAGAGGAUGACCAGCCACACUGGAACUGAGACACGGUCCAGACUCCUACGGGAGGCAGCAGUGGGGAAUAUUGCACAAUGGGCGCAAGCCUGAUGCAGCCAUGCCGCGUGUAUGAAGAAGGCCUUCGGGUUGUAAAGUACUUUCAGCGGGGAGGAAGGGAGUAAAGUUAAUACCUUUGCUCAUUGACGUUACCCGCAGAAGAAGCACCGGCUAACUCCGUGCCAGCAGCCGCGGUAA
rnacentral:rRNA from 1 species